rnacentral:rRNA from 1 species
GACGAACGCUGGCGGCGUGCCUAAUACAUGCAAGUAGAACGCUGAAGGAGGAGCUUGCUCUUCUGGAUGAGUUGCGAACGGGUGAGUAACGCGUAGGUAACCUGCCUGGUAGCGGGGGAUAACUAUUGGAAACGAUAGCUAAUACCGCAUAAGAGUAGAUGUUGCAUGACAUUUACUUAAAAGGUGCAAUUGCAUCACUACCAGAUGGACCUGCGUUGUAUUAGCUAGUUGGUGGGGUAACGGCUUACCAAGGCGACGAUACAUAGCCGACCUGAGAGGGUGAUCGGCCACACUGGGACUGAGACACGGCCCAGACGCCUACGGGAGGCAGCAGUAGGGAAUCUUCGGCAAUGGACGGAAGUCUGACCGAGCAACGCCGCGUGAGUGAAGAAGGUUUUCGGAUCGUAAAGCUCUGUUGUAAGAGAAGAACGAGUGUGAGAGUGGAAAGUUCACACUGUGACGGUAUCUUACCAGAAAGGGACGGCUAACUACGUG